rnacentral:rRNA from 1 species
AAGUGUGGACGCCAGUCUGCAUGGAGCCAUCCUUGAAAUACCACCCUUUAAUGGCUGGUGUUCUAACGUGGGCCCGUGAACCGGGUUGCGGACAGUGUCUGGUGGGUAGUUUGACUGGGGCGGUCUCCUCCUAAAGAGUAACGGAGGAGCACGAAGGUUGGCUAAUCCUGGUCGGACAUCAGGAGGUUAGUGCAAUGGCAUAAGCCAGCUUGACUGCGAGCGUGACGGCGCGAGCAGGUGCGAAAGCAGGUCAUAGUGAUCCGGUGGUUCUGAAUGGAAGGGCCAUCGCUCAACGGAUAAAAGGUACUCCGGGGAUAACAGGCUGAUACCGCCCAAGAGUUCAUAUCGACGGCGGUGUUUGGCACCUCGAUGUCGGCUCAUCACAUCCUGGGGCUGAAGUAGGUCCCAAGGGUAUGGCUGUUCGCCAUUUAAAGUGGUACGCGAGCUGGGUUUAGAACGUCGUGAGACAGUUCGGUCCCUAUCUGCCGUGGGCGCUGGAAGAUUGAGGGGGGCUGCUCCUAGUACGAGAGGACCGGAGUGGACGCAUCACUGGUGUUCGGGUUGUCAUGCCAAUGGCACUGCCCGGUAGCUACAUGCGGAAGAGAUAAGUGCUGAAAGCAUCUAAGCACGAAACUUGCCCCGAGAUGAAUCUUCCCUGAGCCUUUAAGGCUCCUGAAGGAACGUUGAAGACGACGACGUUGAUAGGCCGGGUGUGUAAGCGCAGCGAUGCGUUGAGCUAACCGGUACUAAUGAACCGUGAGGCUUAACCUUACAAC